rnacentral:rRNA from 1 species
UACGUAGGGUGCAAGCGUUGUCCGGAAUUAUUGGGCGUAAAGAGCUCGUAGGCGGUUUGUCGCGUCUGCUGUGAAAACUCAGGGCUUAACCCUGAGCCUGCAGUGGGUACGGGCAGACUAGAGUGUGGUAGGGGAGAUCGGAAUUCCUGGUGUAGCGGUGGAAUGCGCAGAUAUCAGGAGGAACACCGGUGGCGAAGGCGGAUCUCUGGGCCAUAACUGACGCUGAGGAACGAAAGCCAGGGGAGCAAACGGG